GGAGUGGCUCCCCAGCUCUGGGCACACACGGGGGCUGGAGAAACAGGCCCUGCUGUUCAUAAAGCAUUCAGCUCCCUCUGGGACAGAUCCCUGGAGAAUUAGGAAGGCUUUACAGUAAAAUCCAGCAUGAUCUCGACUGGGCUCUGGAGGCGAGGCCUGAGUAGAAGAAGAAGGUGGAGGAAGGGCAAAUUCACUCUCUGCCUGAGCUGAGACAUCUGUCUUCUCCUGCCCUGGGACAUUGGCACUCUCGGUUCUUGGGCUUUCCGACAGACUAGAAGUUAUACCAUCAGCCCUGAUUCUCAGACCUUCAGAUUUUGACUGAAAUCACCAUGAGCUUUCCUGGUUCUUCAGCUUGCAGAUUUCAGAUCAUGGGACUUCGUGGCCUCCAUAACCACUGAAUGUGUAUUACUUUUUUAAUGAGAAAAAGAAGCAUUAGCAACUUGGAAAAAUAUAUUUUACGAAGGACUGAAGUUGUACAUGGAUAUUAUCAACCCAAAAUGGUGGAAGACAACCAAAGGAGGCUAUGGAGGCCACCUGAGAAUCAGUGAAAACCAAUGCCUCCCAGGGGAAUCAACACAGACUAUUUCAAGGAAUCUGUCUGAGCGUGUCCAGGCCUAGUAGGAAAGGAAAGAGUUUCAACCAGGCAUUUGAGCCACUCACAUAUACCGCAGAGACAGGGGCUUCAAGACCCAAAGUAUGAAAGGCCAGGGAGGACAGCCUCUGAGGAUGAGGAUGCUAUUGUUAGAUGCAUGUGUGUGAAAAUGAAAGUGGUAAGAGCUGCAAGUCUUCCCUCCACCUCUUUAGGUUCAGGGCUGGCCCCACCAAUGCAUCACUGGGUGCUCACAUCUGCUUGAGUAUGCACAGUACGGUGAAACUGGAUAAAAUCUAUACUCUGUGCUAGGUGUAAUUUCAUUAGCUCUCCUUCCCUCUCAAGGCAAUUCCAGCUUGGUGUCUUGGUCAAAGUCACAGAGUUGGGAGACAGUAGAGUCAGGACUUGAAGGAAGCCUCCCAACAGCUAGUUCCACUCCUUUCCAUCACUGCGUGUGCCCUCUCUUUUAAGUCAUUUGAUUUACUGCAUAUGAAUUUUGUGCCUAAAAGCAAAUUAUGUAUUCUCAGAUGCAAAUUCUGUCUUAAAUAUAGAUAGAGUAGGAUUAGGUGGGGUAAUAAAAGCCCAGAAAGUCCAUUGACCCAAAAAUCUCUCUUUCAUGUGAGAAUCCAAAUGCCUGAAAAUUUACCUAAGGAAACAACUCAUUCCUUUGGGCUAAAACUCUGGGUUUCCUGGAGUUCUUUGUGUUAAGACCAUAUGGCAGAAUUACUGGACAAGUAAUAAGACUCCUGCGGUCUCAUCUGGGCCAUUACGUGCCGUUGAGCAGGUGGUGCAAACUCUUUGAGCCUCUGUUUCGUCAUCAGUAAGGACUCACGGAUAAUUCUUAGUCAUCAGACUUUAAGUGGAAAUUAGUUCAUCAGAUUUUUCCUGCAGCAUGACUGCUGCAGAAGGAAGCAGCUUUGGAGGUUUUUAUAGGGAAAGAUUACAAGGGGCGCUCUGGAGCAUGGCCGCUCUCCACUGGGUGCAGAUUCACGAGGGAGAUUGGAGAGGGCAGCCCUCGGUGCUGGGGGGUCCAGAAGAGAUGGGAGGGCCCCACAUGGAAAUUCAGAACAGACCAUGUCUGUGCUGCACUUGUCACCACGAGGACAGCAAGACUGUCUUCCUUGUCCUCCCCUUAACACCUAGCACAUAGUGUGCACUCAACAAAUGUCCGUUCCUCCUGCCCAGAGCAAUCCUCUCCACUAGAAAAUCUUAACUCUGGUAGACCUCCUCACAGCAAUUACCUUGGGCCUAACUACUGGGGUGGAGGAGCACAUGGAUCAAACCCAACCCUGAAGUUGAGGGGAUGUUGAUGGGUUCCCUCUCCUCUCUCUCUGAGGACACCCCUCAUCCCACCUGUUUGAACUGCUCUUUCUUCUUUAGUCCAGUACUUUCUUACUUUGUCCUUUUCUAGUCUGUUCCAUGAGGAGAGUCCACACUCACAAUCACACGUGGACUGAUUCAGGCUUACACAUCCCUUCUGUACCUGCUGGUAACACGGUCACUGGGCUUGGUUGGGCUCCCCUCCUGUGCUGGAACUAAAUUUGCCAGUAGCUUGAAGAGGAGCAGCCAGACCUGAGAUAAUGCAGAAGCUGGAUAAUUAGCCUCCAGGUAAUCAAGGAUUGCCUGUCUCAGCGGGACUCUCAUAUUCUGGAGUGAAGAAGGUUUUUACCCAGAGAAUCAGAACCUCCCAAGAAACACAUGAUUAUCAAUUAGUGAUUUAGGCCAAGGUGGGGCCUAUUUCCUUCCACUGGAGCUGAAUUUUUAUAUUAUAGAAAGUAUUCAAAAACUGCCUUUCUUAAAAAGUUUAGUUCCCUGUGUUCUAAGAUGGGGAAAAAUAAAAAACAAACAAAAAUCUCUCCCAUUUGUAAAAAGAGGUCCAGGUAUUGUUCCAUGUGACUAGAAAUGAGACUAACGGUGAGGGCUUUGUUCAUCAUGGUGCGGCAGCUGUUAUGCUCAUUUGUUAGUAUUUCUCCUCUCAUGGUGAUUUUCUGACAAUCUUGGUUAAAGAAAAAGUCCAGCUGUGUGAUCAGUUUUCUAAAACUUGAAAGUUCAGACUUGCUAUAUAUACAUUUUAAAAGUCUUCAAAUCAUUAGGUAAAAGUGUGCAUAUUGUAUUUUACAUUUUCUUAAGUGUU
ensembl:lncRNA